rnacentral:lncRNA from 1 species
UUGGCAUCCCUCUAGUGGCUAUAAAAAGACCUAAGCACUAGUGUCCGAGGCAUUUAGAUCGAGUUUUUAUUUUCCUCUCUGUAGCUCUCCCUUCUUUCUUACAAUCCAUCUUAGUUUUAGGACAAGACUUUGAGAUUUAAGACAAAGCCUUAUCUGGUCCUAACAAGGGUUGGAAAGGUCCUAAAGAAGGAGAAUUAGAAGUCUAAAAGAGGUUCUCAGAGGGUCAAGUCAGGUUCUUAGAGAAACCUGACUGAUAUAGGACUAGUCGAGUUCUAAGAGUUAGAACUCUUGAAGCAAGAUAAAGGAGGAGCAUUGUCUUUGGUUUAAUUUUAUGUAGAUCAUC